CAAGUGCCUGGAAAACAUAGGGCUAAAAUACAUUUAAGUUAUCUCAGGUCUAAGACAGAGAACAAUGUGUUGUAAGCCUAUGGUGUGAUAACAGAAUUUAGUAGUCUUACUAACAAGAGUGAAUUAUUUCUUUCCAUCCUUCUAACAAGUGAAUUUGGAGACAGUGACUCCCAAACAGCUGCUAGCUUAGGAUACACCUUAUCUGCCCAUCCUGUUCUUCUUGUAAUAAAUUUUCUACGAAGGUCACACUGUUUUAAAUCUUUGCCAGCUAUCAGUAAAAUUGCAGAUACGGUUGGUUUCAGAUAAUUUGUGAUUACUGGGGCAUCCAACUGUGCCAAAGGUGAAAAGUGCACCCUGAGGAAGACUGCUUACUUCAUCUUGAAGACCCCUGCCCACAUGAGGAAGACUACUUACUUCAUCUUAAAUACCCCUGCCCACAACCACUGGAGGGCAGUGCAGAAGCGCCAAAAGGGAGGAGACUUAUGAUAAUGAGUACCUAAACUAAUUGUAAUAUCCCCACCGAACUCUCGGGAACCUAAUGAAUAUGCAUGUUUGUGUGUAAUAAACAUCUGCUUGCUUAACCCCUCAGUGUGCAAGUUAGGAGGAGUGAUCCCCCUUGCACCCGGUGCCAUAAUAACCAUACCUGCUUUAUAACUCUC